rnacentral:rRNA from 1 species
GUGAUCAAGCGACAAAGGGCAUAUGGUGGAUGUCUCGGCGUCAGGAGGCGAUGAAGGACGCGGGAACCUGCGAAAAUCCUGAGGGAGCCGGUAACCAGGCAGUGAUCUCAGGGUGUCCGAAUGGGGCAACCCACCCUUCGGGGUAUCUCCGGCUGAAUGCAUAGGCCGGUAGAAGCGAACCCAGGGAACUGAAACAUCUCAGUACCUGGAGGAAAGGAAAUCAACCGAGACUCCGUGAGUAGUGGCGAGCGAAAGCGGAUAGUAGUGAGACGCAUGAACGAUCUGGAAAGAUCGACCGCAGAAGGUGACAGUCCUGUAAUGCGAGGUAGCUACACAGCCCACGAGUAGCGUCGGGCCCGUGAAACCCGGCGUGAAUAUGGGGGGUCCACCCUCCAAGGCUAAGUACUCCCUGACGACCGAUAGUGAACCAGUAAGGCGACUGAAUGAUGAAAAGAUCCCCUGCUAGGGGAGUGAAAGAGUACCUGAAACCAUGUGCCUACACAGCGGUUGGAGCCCCCUUCGGGGGGUGACAGCGUGCCUUUUGCAUAAUGACCCGGCGAGUUACUCUGUACGGCGAGGCUAAGGGCUAACGGCCCGGAGCCGGAGCGAAAGCGAGUCCGAAAUGGGCGGCAAGUCGUACGGAGUAGACGCGAAACCCGUUGAUCUACCCAUGGCCAGAGUGAAGGGCGGGUAACACCGCCUGGAAGCUCGAACCCACCAACGUUGAAAAGUUGGGGGAUGAGCUGUGGGGAGGGCUAAAAGUGCAAUCAUAACGGGAGAUAGCUCGUUCUCUCCGAAAUAUUUUUAGGAAUAGCCUCUCGCGGCAACUGAUGGGGGUAGAGCUACUGGAUGUGGCUGGGGCCCGCAAGGGUACCCACCGCAACCAAACUCCGAAUACCAUCAGCCAAGGCGAGGGAGUCAGUCCACGGGAGAUAAUUUUCGUGGACAAAAGGAGAACAAUCCAGACCGCCGGCUAAGGUCCCAGAACAAUGCUUAGUUCUAAAGGAAGUCGAUCUGCAGAGACAGCCAGGAUGUUGGCUUAGAAGCAGCCACCAUUUAAAGAGUGCGUAAUAGCU